UUUAAAAUUAACAUUGAAAGGAGUUAACAUAAUAAUAUGCGAUCAUCUUAUUAACGUGUUUUAACUUACAUGCAAAUAUUUUAGUUACGUUUUCUGUUACAGAUAUGUACCGAUGACUUCAGUAACUGUAAAUAGGUUAUCUGAAGAAGCUGCAUCAGAAUGAAUUAUGACAAUAAAAAGGAUGCCAAUGUUUCCUGUGGAGGGCUGUGAUGCCUGUGGUUUCGAUGACAUUUAUGGAUCUCCCGUGGACAAAGAGAGUGUUGCUACUUUUACUUCGGUACCAAAGGCGAGCGACAAAAAGAACGAUUCGAUUUAGUUAUUUUGUCAAAUGUGAUAACAUUAUUUUUUAAUAAAAUUUUAUACAUUUUA